CCUACGGGAGGCUGCAGUGAGGAAUAUUGGUCAAUGGACGCAAGUCUGAACCAGCCAUGCCGCGUGCAGGAAGACGGCUCUAUGAGUUGUAAACUGCUUUUGUACGAGGAUAAACUCAGAUACGCGUAUCUUUCUGAAAGUAUCUUACGAAUAAGGAUCGGCUAACUCCGUGCCAGCAGCCGCGGUAAUACGGAGGAUUCGAGCGUUAUCCGGAUUUAUUGGGUUUAAAGGGUGCGUAGGCGGUCGGAUAAGUUAGAGGUGAAAUCUCGAGGCUCAACUUCGGAAUUGCCUCUGAUACUGUCAGGCUAGAGAGUAGUUGCGGUAGGCGGAAUGCAUGGUGUAGCGGUGAAAUGCUUAGAGAUCACACAGAACACCGAUUGCGAAGGCAGCUUACCAAGCUACGUCUGACGUUGAUGCACGAAAGUGUGGGGAUCAAACAGGAUUAGAUACCCUUGUAGUC
rnacentral:rRNA from 1 species